AUUGAACGCUGGCGGCAGGCUUAACACAUGCAAGUCGAGCGGGGUGAUGGUGCUUGCACUAUCACUUAGCGGCGGACGGGUGAGUAAUGCUUAGGAAUCUGCCUAUUAGUGGGGGACAACAUCUCGAAAGAGAUGCUAAUACCGCAUACGUCCUACGGGAGAAAGCAGGGGAUCACUUGUGACCUUGCGCUAAUAGAUGAGCCUAAGUCGGAUUAGCUAGUUGGUGGGGUAAAGGCCUACCAAGGCGACGAUCUGUAGCGGGUCUGAGAGGAUGAUCCGCCAAACUGGGACUGAGACACGGCCCAGACUCCUGCGGGAGGCAGCAGUGGGAAUAUUGGACAAUGGGGGGAACCCUGAUCCAGCCAUGCCGCGUGUGUGAAGAAGGCCUUAUGGUUGUAAAGCACUUUAAGCGAGGAGGAGGCUCUUUUGGUUAAUACCCAAGAUGAGUGGACGUUACUCGCAGAAUAAGCACCGGCUUACUCUGUGCCAGCCGCCGCGGUAA
rnacentral:rRNA from 1 species